UGGGGAAUAUUGCACAAUGGGCGGAAGCCUGAUGCAGCGACGCCGCGUGGGGGAUGAAGGCCUUCGGGUUGUAAACUCCUUUCGACAGGGACGAAGCUUUUGUGACGGUACCUGUAUAAGAAGCACCGGCUAACUACGUGCCAGCAGCCGCGGUAAUACGUAGGGUGCGAGCGUUGUCCGGAAUUACUGGGCGUAAAGAGCUCGUAGGUGGUUUGUCGCGUCGUCUGUGAAAUUCCGGGGCUUAACUCCGGGCGUGCAGGCGAUACGGGCUGACUUGAGUGCUGUAGGGGAGACUGGAAUUCCUGGUGUAGCGGUGAAAUGCGCAGAUAUCAGGAGGAACACCGAUGGCGAAGGCAGGUCUCUGGGCAGUAACUGACGCUGAGGAGCGAAAGCAUGGGUAGCGAACAAG
rnacentral:rRNA from 1 species